AAAGAAAAAAACUUUUUAAGAAAAUUUAAAGGACGCGCGUAUAUUGACCGUGAUAAUGUAGCAUAAUCACUCGCCACUUAAUUGGUGGAUAGUAUGAAUGGUUAAACGAAUAUUACACUGUCUCCCUCAAAAAACUCUUAAAAUUAAAAUAAUAGUAAAGAUGCUAUUUAAAACUGUAAGACGAAAAGACCCUAUAGAGCUUAACUAUACCCUAUAUUAAAAAAAAAUAAACGAAAAAUUUGUUUAUCAUAUAGGACGGUAGUUUAGUUGGGGCGACUUUCUUCUAAAAACAACGAAGAUAAGCAAUGUAAUAAAAAAACUUAUUGUAUAAUUAAUAAAUUUAACAAUUAUAAAAAUAGGCUAUAAUGACCCAUUAAAACUAAGUAAUAAGCUUAAUGAUCAAUAAAUAAAAGCUACCUUAGGGAUAACAGGAUAAUUUUGUUCUAGAGAUCUUAUCGAAAACAAAGUUUGUCACCUCUAUGUUGAAUUAAGAUAUCCUAGUAAUGCAGAA
rnacentral:rRNA from 1 species